rnacentral:rRNA from 1 species
GUGGGGAAUAUUGGACAAUGGGCGCAAGCCUGAUCCAGCCAUGCCGCGUGAGUGAUGAAGGCCUUCGGGUUGUAAAGCUCUUUAGCCGAUGAUUAUAAUGACUGUAGUCGGAAAAUAAGCCCCGGCUAACUUCGUGCCAGCAGCCGCGGUAAUACGAAGGGGGCGAGCGUUAUUCGGAAUCACUGGGCGUAAAGCGUGCGUAGGCGGCUUUGCAAGUUGGGAGUGAAAGCCCAGGGCUCAACCCUGGAAUUGCUCUCAAAACUGCAAGGGUCGAAUUCGGGAGAGGAUAGCGGAAUUGUCAGUGUAGCAGUGAAAUGCGUAGAUAUUGACAGGAACACCAGUGGCGUAAGCGGCUAUCUGGACCGAUAUUGACGCUGAGGCACGAAAGCGUGGGGAUCAAACAGGAUUAGAUACCCUAGUAGUCC